UGGGGAAUUUUGCACAAUGGGGGAAACCCUGAUGCAGCGACGCCGCGUGAUUUAGAAGGCCUUCGGGUUGUAAAAAUCUUUUUUACGGGAUGAAAAUGACAGUACCGUCAGAAUAAGGUCCGGCUAAAUACGUGCCAGCAGCCGCGGUAAUACGUAUGGACCGAGCGUUGUCCGGAAUCAUUGGGCGUAAAGGGUACAUAGGCGGCCUAGUAAGUUAACAGUGAAAUAAUAUAGCUCAACUAUAUAAAGCUUUUAAAACUGCUAGGCUUGAGAGAUGGAAAGGAAAGUGGAAUUCCUAGUGUAGCGGUGAAAUGCGCAGAUAUUAGGAAGAAUACCGGUGGCGAAGGCGACUUUCUGGUCAUCAUCUGACGCUGAGGUACGAAAGCGUGGGUAGCAAACAGG
rnacentral:rRNA from 1 species